AUUUAUAUAGUAUAACCAUUAUAAUUGAUUUCCAAUCAAAAGAUCUAAUAAAAUUUAGUAUAAAUA
rnacentral:tRNA from 1 species